UAAUAACUCUAAUGAGUUCCAGCUCUAACCAAACCAUGUUCCUCACAUCUACGCUGGUGCUGUUACUGCUGAUUACAACACGUGUCCAGUCCCAGGUUGUCCUCACCCAGUCUGAGCAGUCACUAGUAGUUGCUCCAGGUGGAUCUCAUAAACUGACCUGUGCCUGUAGUGGGUUCAACUUGGGCAGCUAUAGGAUGCACUGGAUCCGUCAGGCUCCUGGGAAAGGACUGGAAUGGAUCAUGCACUACCACACUGACUCUAGUAAAGGCACAGCCCAGGCAGUACAGGGCAGGUUUAGUGGAUCCAAAGACAGCUCUAAUUUCUACCUUCAUAUGAGUCAACUGAAGCCAGAGGACACUGCCAUGUAUUACUGUGCUAGAGAGUCACUGUGAGAGGACUCAUACAGACAGCUGUAAAAUAACUCUAAAAUAAAAAAUAUAGUAAAACGAGAAGUAGGAAAACACUGGUCAAAAAGGCAGUGAUCCUCAUAGUAAAAUUGUAGCAUGCUACUUUUA